ensembl:lncRNA
CUGGUGUGACAAGCAUAGUAUAUAUUCCAUUUAUGUUCCAGGAAAAUCGUGUGUCUCUUCUUUUUUAACAUGUUGUAAAAUUCUUAUGUCAUGUUACAAACUGGUUUCUUUUUACUUUUGUGAUUCUGCCAUUUUCUAGUGGAAUAGUUGCUAUUUUAGUAAUCCUCAUGUUAAAACUACAUCAUUGAAAUGGAAACUUCCAUUUGGCACUCUGGCAUUUAGACUUCUCUUUACUCUGAUUUUUUCCUUCCUCCAUAGUCCUUUCUCUCUUUCAAUGUGCUUUAUAACUGAUUUAUGGUUACAUGAAUUGUUCUUUGGAUCCUGUGACUGUGUGCAUGCUCAGUCAUGUCUGCCUCUUUGUGACCCCAUGGACUGUGCCCUGCCAGGUGCCUCUGUCCAUGAAAUUUUUCAGGCAAGAAUACUGGAGUGGGUUGCCAUUUCCUACUCCAGGGGAUCUUCCCAACCCAGGGAUUGAACCCAUGUCUCCUGCGUCUCCUGCGUCUCCUGCAUUGGCAGGUGGAUUCUUUACCACUGAGCCACCUGGGAAGCCUCUUCUUGGAUCUUACCUGACCAGAAUAAAAUCUCUGAGUUCACACAUUUCUAUCUUGUUCAGUGAAACAUCCUCAGUGUCUCAAACAUCCCCAUCACAGAGUAUUUGUGAAAUAAUUCCACUGGAUAAGUGAAGUUCCUGUAUGGAUUUCAGCUUCCACUCUGUUUCCACAGCUUAGAGUUGAAAUCUGACUCAGACUUUCAAACUGAUCUGGCCCUGAAUCCAUCCACUAACCUAUACUUCCUUCCUUCUUUUCUUCCUUCCAUCUGCCAGCUCUCAGCUUCCAGUCUGCCUAGGCUCUAACUCUUCCCAUUGCCACCUGAAACUUGGUUUUUUACACUUUCUUCUCGCUAUUAGCUAUGGUUCUUUGACCUAAUACUGCCAUAAUGUGGUGAAGCAUUAAUCUGUAGAAGGAUAGAGGUACACCAGUAAGUAUCCCUUGGAGAAGGGAAUGGCGACCCACUCCAGUAUUCUUGCCUGAAUAUCCCGCCAGUAAGUAUCCCACGGACAGAGGAGCACGGAGUCAGACACGACUGAAGGACUAAGCACACACACACCAGUAAGCACAAGGUGGCUGCCAAUGUUUCACACAAGGAACACAGGUGUGAGUGUUGGAACUGAUGGUUCCCAGGACACUGCAUCACAAAAGGCCCUUCUGGCAUCUCCCCAUCUUUCAGCAAGAAUAGCACGCAUCCUGAGAGUUGUUACGUGGACUUUUCAGCUUUCAAUUCAUUUCAGAUGUGGCUUAAAGUAACAUGUCAUUCAGAGUUUGUUUGCCUGUAGGGUGAUUCAUUCAUUGAUCUCCUAAACAAACAUAUAGUAGGUAGGGGAGAAGACAGGAGAAAAAGGGAGGGAAGGAAGAAAUGACAGAGGAAACAAUUUUUACCCUAGGGCAUCCAUGUUGUGAUUACCUCUCAAAAACUAGAAACAAGCAGUUUGGUUCCCUGUGUGAAAAUUCAAACUGGUAAAACCAUGAACUUGAGGUGAGUUCUGUGGCUUCUCUAAAGUAUCUGGGGUUCUGUAGCUUGGUUGGUUGGUUGUUGCUUUCAUUUAAAAGAAGAUGAUAUUUAUAAAUGAGAGAGGGAUUAGAAUAUGAAUAACAAAAUGAAGCUGAUGAUUCCUGUUUAAAAUAUUGAAAAUUGGGGGUCAGAAAAGAAUCAAAUCAUGAAUCUUUUCUUCAUACCUGUAAGAACCAGGCUGUAAAUUUAUUGCGUGUUGUAUAGAGAGCCCAAAAUAGUAUGUGUGUGUAUGUUUAAGACACUUCUCUGUGACUCAUUCAACAAACAUGAUCAUCUUCCAAGUGCAAGGCCCCGCGUCCAGUGCUACAGGAAGAACAGCAGGAGACAAUGGCAGAACAAUGAGAGCUCGUGGGACUUCUCUGGCGAUCCAGUGGCUAAGGCGCCACACUCCCAAUGCAGGUUCAAUCCCUGAUCAGGGAACUAGACCCCACAUGCCUCAAAUAAGAGUUCACAUACCACAACUCAGACCCGGCCCAGACAAAUAAAUAAAAAUAAAUAUAAAAAGAACAAUGGGAGUUACUAUUUCUAUGGGCAAAUAUGCUGUGCCUGUUUCUUUCAAAAGUUAUACUUGAGUCUCACAAAAAUCUGCAACAUAGAUAUUAUAAUGUGUACUUUCCUUCCAAGUACGAGAAAACUGAAGAUUAGAAAAGUUCAGUAAUAUUCCAAGCCAAACAGCUUACAUGUAUUCAAUUCAAUGUUUUGACAGUACCACAUCCAUGUUAUUUUGACUAAGCCGCCUUCGAGGUACUCAUAACCUGGAAGACAUGAUCUCUCUCAUUUGCUCAACUUCUUUCUUUCUCUCUCUCUGUCUCACACACACACUCAUCUAGGCUGUGAUCUAUAUACAUAUCUAAAAGAGAGACAAAUACUCUCACUUGAGCACCUAGAUUCUGAGGGCUCCGGUGGCUGCCUGGUCAUUUGCCGGCAGUUCAUGCUGUAGUCUACGCACUCGAGGGCGUGAAUGUACUGACAACUGUCCAUGUACUUACUCCCUGUGCACCCACUAAGUGCAAGAGAUACACACACUCCUAAAACCUAGUCCUGUCUUCAAGGAGAUUAGUUGCGUAUAAGAAAUUUAUAUGUCAAAAAAGUGUUGUAGUAUUGGCCAAUUUCCCAGUUCUUUUGAAAAUGUACCAGGUAGGAAAACAACAUGCCACUUGCAACAGAAUAAAGAAAACACAGAUAUUGAUCAAAAUGUUAUAAACCUGGCUUAAAGGAAAGUGUGGCUUAAGUAGUGCAAAGAGGCUCAUUUGAGAACUAUAGACCGUUUUCUUUUCCUCUUCUCUUUCAAAACAUUUCUUUCAGGCUCUUUCUCCCUCAUAAAAUUCAUAUUUUGCAUCCUUUAGGAAAAAAAAUAUUUUUCAGAGCUUACAGGUGGCAGUAGAAUGAAGGGUUAUAGAAAAUAACUAGUUUUAACUGCACAUGGGACUUCCCUGGUUGUCCAGUGGUUUAAAAUCCACCUUUCAAUGAAAGGGAUGUGAGUUUGACUCCUUGUUGGGGGACUUGGAUCUUACAUGCUGCAACCAAGCCCGUACUCUGCAACUACUGAGCCCAUGCACCAUGAGACCAUGCACCACGACUGGAGAGAAGCCCCCAUGCUGCCAAGAACUGACACAGCCAAAUAAAUAAAUACAUGUUUUUUUUUUGGAAAAACACACACACACACAGAGUUCAUGGAUCUUUGGAGAGAGUUCACUGCGUGGCGACCCAAAUCAUGGAUAGUGGUUAUACUACAAUCAGGUGACUCAUUAUAGCAAACUAUUGGCUGCAUGUUCUAAAUUUAAUGUAGCUGGGAGAAUGUUUGGUACCCUGUUAAAUAGUAAGAACAAUCACAUUUCAUUUAAAGCAAAGCCAAUUUAAGAUAUUUUAUGAUUUCAGGGAUGUUAAAAUGUGAAAAAAAGUACAUCUUAGAAUUCAUAAAAUAGGAAUAUAUAUUAGUCAAGGCUCUCCAGAGAAACAGAAAAUCCAACAGGAUGUGUUUGUAUCAUUUAUUUCCAUCUAUCUUUCUAUCUAUCUAAUUUAGAUUUUAAGAAAUUGGCUCAUACAAUUGUAGAGACUUAGAAAGUCCAAAAUCUUGAGUAGGCUGGCAGACUGCAGACCCAAGGUAGUUUCAGAAGUCACAGUUCAAGUUCAAAAGUGUUAUUCUGGCAGAAUCCCUUCACCCUCCAGCAAGGUCAGUCUUUUUCUAGUAAGGCCUUCAACUGACUGAAUGAGGCCCACCACUGCCCACAUUAUGAAGAACAAUCUGCUUUACUCAAAGUUUACUGAAUUCCCUGUUAAUUUCAUCUAAAAAUUACCUUCACAGAAACAUCUAGGCUAAAUGUUUGGCCAAAUAUAUGGGCCCUGUGGCGUAACCAAUGCCACAUGAGUCACUGUGGCAGAGGGACAUUAGGAGGAAGAUUCUCUUUGUUGUGGGAAGUGUUAGCGCUGGAACUCACCCUGUCACGGCACAAAGACAUGAGCAGAGCAGUGCUGGUUCUUCCUCUCAAGGCUUUUUUGUGGGUUGGGGUUCACCCUGUCUGAUCUCUUCUGGGCCUUCCCUUCAAAAGGGAAUCAUCCAUAAUGCAAUCAAUUAAACCCACCCCAUAGAGCAAACUUCUGGUGAGCUGCAAAGGGAAAUAGCUCUGUCCUUUUCUCUAUGUUACUAAUGUUUACAUUUCUGUUUUUCUAACUUGGACAGAAGCCAGACCCCUGGGAUUUGGGGGUGAGGGGGAUAUGGGGGGAAAAUCAAAUGUUCUGCCAAUAUAUGAAAUAUAAUUUUUUUCCCUAAAUUUUAGUUUAGCUCUUCUUUGUUGGAACUUGUGCCAGUGGUCAGAAAGAGGAGGAAGAGAGAAAAAGUAUGGUCUCCACACUGCCCCCAUCCACCACAAUCAGACCACAUUUCACUCCUACCCACCUUUAACUCUUCUCACCACUGGUUUCCCGUCCAAACACCCCGGAACCCACUGCUCUUAUAUUCUCUAGAAUGUUCCCAGGCCUGUCUCUGCCAGCAGUUAUCCCCUGUUAAAUAUUACCAUGAUCAGUUUCUUCCCUCCUCCUGCUUGCACAAUCCUGGAACCAGUGACUCACUCUUGCUUUAUUGUAAGUAUUUACAUUUUGGUUAAAAUCAUGGACCUUGGAGCCGUGGAAUCUCUUCUUCGCCACUUGUGUGACACUCGCAUCUGUUCCCUCACCUAUAAAACUGGGAUAAUGACAGUAUUUACGUCACAGAGAGAAGCAGAGACAGAAGAGAGAGAGAACUCAAGGUGUUAGUGUCCUCAGUCAGUGGGGUUUAAUGUCAAUCCCUCACAAUGGUGAUCUUACCAUCUUCCCCUGAGGAUACCACCUGAUGGAAAAUGAGGCUGAAGUCUGAGAUCAGAGUGCCCCCCGGACAGGACCUGGCAACGGCCCUAUUCCAAGAUGCAGACUGCUAACUCCUCGUCGCCUCCCGUGGUAGAAAGAGAGCCAGCCAGUUCUCUGACCUUUUCUUGUAAGGACACCAGUCCCAUUCAUGAGGACUCCACUCUCACGGCUCAGUCACCUCCCCAAAGCAUCACUUCUAAAACCAUCACAUUGGUGAUGAGAUUUCAACAAAAGAAUCUGAGGUGGGGGGUGGGGGGUGGGGAGAACAUUCAAUCCAAAACAAGCAGCUUUCUGCUCUUUGUGCCUUAGGAUGUUUGAAGAAUGGGGAUGGAACACAGUACCUUCAAAGUGUUCAUGUGUAUUUUUAUCAAAAAACUAAGAGGAGAAGGAAAUGACAACCCAUUCCAGUAUUCUUCCCUGGAGAAUUCUAUGGAUGGAGGAGCCUGGCAGAUUGCAGUCCUUGGGGUUGCAAAGAGUCAGAGACAACUGAGCAACUAACACACAUACAUGACAAAUGUGUUUCAAUUACUGAAAACGUGUGAAACACUACCUGUGUGUAUUUCUUAAAUGCCGGCUCUAUGCAAGGCAGACAUGAUGUUUGCCCUCAUGGAGCUUUGGUUUCAGUGGCAUCUUCACUGUAAAUAAAAGGACAGUUGCCUUUUCAAUUAUUCCUUCUGUGAAGCUUGGUAGUGGAGGCCAAACUCACAGGACUAAAACAUAUCAGACUAUAUCAGUACAUUAGUAUCAGAAUGGAGAAACACUGAGAAAAUAAGAAUAAUAAGAGGAGGUAUGAGUGGAGGAGACAAAAAGAGUAACAGAAUGUGUGCUUAGUGAGUAGAGGUGGUGGUGGGGAGGGAGGCACCUGUGACCACGCUGGGAACUGCUCAGUGGUCUAGACCACCCAGCCCUCAAGUACAUGCUGCCCGUUUUCGUAACACUUUGCACUGCUUGAAAGGGAAGAUCCUGUGGCCACAGAAACAGUCUGGGAACUGAUAUUAUCAGUUUGGGCCAGUUAUCCAGAUCAGACCCGGUUGAGUUGCUGAGAGAAAGCGGCAGGAUUUCUGACUGCCAGGCUAGACUAUAUUUUCCCCCUUUUAUGGCUCAUUAUAAAAAUAUUUGUGCUGACCUGUAAGCUGAUCAGUGCCAACUGGAGUCAGCCCACUUGAGAGGAAAAUUAUUUAUGAUUACAAUUUGGCUGCAAGGCUCCUUGAGUAUUUCUGCCUCCCUGAGUUGAGAAUUGAAAUUAUCAAGACCCCAAACUACAUUUUCUCAGUUCUGUGGGAAGGCUAUCUAGUAGCUUCCUUGGAUCACAAUAGUUAGUCGUCCUUAGGAAACACCCAAAGAGCUGUUGUGUAGCUUUCCCUUAAUCAUACACUGUCUUUGCCACCUCAUUCAUCCUCCUGUUAAACUCACUUCUCAACAAAAUUUCCCUUUUCUUUAAAAGCCUCUCCUGGUCUGUCUGGGUUAUGUAUUGACCUAUUUAUUUUGUGUGUGGGUGGUUUCUGUGACUCCUCCUGGCUGAAAAAUGUCAUGACUGAAUCUACAUUGUCAGCUUUGAGCAUCAUGGAAAUCCUCACCCCAAUGCCUGUGCACCUGCUUCACUUCCAAAGUCCUCCUGAGCUUGCUUAUCUGUGGCUGUUGAAUUCAGUAGCUUGAGUCAUGAUAAUGAGGCCAAGAUUGUGGUUUUGAUGCAUGAAAGUGAAACGUGAAAGUGUUAGUCCCUCAGCCCUGUUUGACUCUUUGCAACCCCAUGGACUGUAGCCUGCCAGGCUCCUCUGUCCAUGGGGAAAGAAUGCUGGAAUGGGUUGCCAUGCACCUCUUCCAGGGGCUCUUCCUGACCCAGGGAUUGAACCCAUGUCUCCUGUGGCUCCUGCAUUGCAGAUGGAUUCUUUAUCACUGAGCCACUGGGGAAGCCCAUACUCCAUUUAUAGUUAUUAUAAAUAUUGGCUAUAUUCUCUGUGUUGCAUAAUGGAUCCUUGUAGUUUAUCUUCUACAUAGUAGUUUGAAUCUUUUAAUCCCCUACCCCUAUCCUUGCCUUUCCUUCUUUCCCUCUCCUUACUGGUAACCACUAGUUUGUUCUCUGUACCUGUAAGUUUGUUUCAUUUUUGUUACAUUCACUGGUUUUUAUUUUUAGAUUCCAC